GAUUUUAGUUCCUUUUUUGUUGAAUUCUUCUGUUUAGAUCCACGCUGUGAAGUUUCGUCGCCCGGUCGUGGGAAGAGCAUGUCUUGUAUGACAAGGUAAGUGAGUAAAAUGAUAUUCAAAGUGAAUAUUUGUAAACACGGACAGUUGAAAGUAUUCCUGGUUUUUGUUGGUUUUUCUGUUUGAUGGAUCUAAUACAAAUAUCCGAUGUGCUAUUAUCUCAUGUUCUAACAACAGAACAUUAUCGUCCAGCGCUUAUUCUAGGUUACUUUGUAGAAGAGGUUGUAUAAUAUGUAACAAAAUUGUAACCCUUAAAUGCAUAGCAUUUGGACAAACACUAAUGGCCUGUAUAGAGAUUUUCAAAUGCGAUGUCUUUUGCAUAAGAACCCGGUAUUUCUUUCUGACCGUUUGUUUCCAAAGUUUACAAACUUAAAGUAAAAACUAAAACCGUCUUCUUAACAUGGGUUGUUUUAUAAUUUACAUUCCAUUCCGUUCCAUUUUCGGUCGUCAAAUCGCCGAUUUGACCAAUGGGUUGUUAUGGAUUGGUUAUCGUCAUAGUGAAGGGGCCCAACUCACCCAUAUUGUGGUAUUUUAAUUUCUUCACUUGUUUUUCAGCCAUCGAUUCCAAGAAGCUGUCAUGGACGUGGUCGCAAAACGUCUUCGUUUGAAAUAUGUCUGGUCAAAGCAAGGUUUGAUAGGCUGAGCGUGCCGCGUGCGAUAGAAGCUCUGCGAUUUUUUAUACAAUUUUUUUAUAAUAUUUUUUAUAAAAUUAUAUAAUUUUUGCGUACCAACAGCGACUGGUAAUUAAAUAUGAGUUUUUGGAUGAUAAUUUUGACUUAAAGGUGCUCUAUUUAUUUUUAGCUGUGCCACAACGGCGGCGGCGUUUGGAGUCGUUUGCAGUUGGGUGUUUCUAUGGCGAAUGGAAAAAACCCAGAGGGAGUCCAAUUAGCUGGCCAGAAAAAAUGUGCUGCAUGGUAAACAGUAGUCUGUGACACCAUCCUCGCCGCCGAAGAUAGGACAAGAUGACGAAAGAUAGUCCAGGAGAAACUGAUACAUCGAAGUCACGACGCUAAAUAUUGAGGAUAGAAGACACAAGUGCUGUUUUGUCUAUCAGGUACAAAUCUAUUUCUACCUCACUGUGACGGUCAUAAGACGCUGCAAUCCGAGGAGUAAGCUCUGUACCUUCACCUUCGCCAUUGAUCUUCCUGGCCACUACAUCGAGUCGUCUGUCUAAAGUACGAGACCUUGCUGAACUCCUUAAUAAUUCUCGUCAAAUAAUGCCCCUAACAUGUCAGUCACUUUAAGCUUCUCUCAUCGCAUUAUGUUUUAAAUAGUGACUACCAUAACGUCAUCAUGCAAAUAUAUACACUUAAUAAUGUAGAGGUACCUAAUAAAAAAGUGUCUUAUUUGUCAGUUAUUUGCUAUUUUUAUUAAACGUCAU